rnacentral:tRNA from 3 species
GCGCCCGUAGCUCAGUGGAUAGAGCACCGGACUUCUAAUCCGAUGGUCGCAGGUUCGAAUCCUGCCGGGCGCG